CCGGGGCUGCUUCUCCUGCCAAGUCAACUGAAAAAAGGGGAUAAGGUUCAGGUUUCUAUACUUUGCAACAGAAAUUGGAGGAGAGGACACGACUGGACAACGACUGAAGAAGGGCAAAGCAGAUCUGAACCAGAGAUUUCUAUAGCCAACCAUGGAGAAGAAACAAGUGCCUGCAGGGGAGAAAAAUGAAGAUUCUGAAAAUGGAGAAUGCCUUCUCCUAAAAUGGAGGCUAAGUCAAACAGAGACUAAAUUUCACAGAUUCCUCCAUGCUUUUAGAACUAGAGGGAAACCAAGAGAUCCCUUCAUCCGACCACAUUCUACACAACAGGCCCAGCAUUAGCCCAGGCAGUCUGUAUCCAACCAUCCUCAUCAUUAAUAUCAAUUCCUCUGGACUUCGUCAUGCUCCCUAGAAACUCAUCAUCCUGCAAGAUUACCCCUCAUCAGGACUCUUCCCCGAACCCCUUUCCUUCCUCUGACUGGAGAGGGCAGAAGACGGACAUCGGAUGGCUCUUCCCAGACCUUCUGCCCAGGGCUAUCCCCUCAUUUCCAACUUGGCUGCAUUCCUACGGACUACAUCAUCUCUCUGCUCCCACCAGGGACCCCUUCCUUUCCGCUAUCACUCCCCCACCCUUUCAUGUUUCUUCUUUCGUGUUGUCCUCCCCCAUUUGAUGGUGAGCUCCUUGAAGAGAGGGAUUGUCUUUUGUCUUUUGCUGUAUCCCCAGUAUUUAGCAUAGUGCCUGGCACAAAGUUGAUACUUAAUAAAUAUUUAUUAACUGGCUGGCUGGCUUUUGACUACGCCACUCCAACUUCCCCACUGAGCUGUACUGAAUAAAGAGCUUUAACCACUAAAA